AAGCCAAUAUUCUGUUAGAGGUUCUGGAAGUCAAGCAGUAGAACAUGUGAGGUUCUGGAACUCAGUUCUGCUGUUCUGUCCCUUGUCAAUCUUGUGUAUUUCCCUCAGUGAUUCAAACAGAAAAUUGACACAAAAGUCGAUACAAAUCCAACUCUGAUAAAGAGCAAGUUCUUGUGGUAAUGAUUUGUUCUUCAGUGUCUUGUCAGUGGUGGAAGAGAUACUCUGGAGCUGCUGCAAUGUGUCUGGGGCUGCUGUGUGUUCUCCUACUGGCUGGGAUCAUAGGCCUGUUUCUCUACCAGAGAAACCAAUUGACCUGUUCCAACACCCUGACUGAAGAGAGGGACCAGCUACAGACCAGUUUCAACAUCCUGACCAAAGAGAGAGCCAGCUACAGACAAACUACAACACCCUGACCAAAGAUGGAGACGAGUUACAGACUAGCAACAACACCCUGAUCAAAGAGAGAGACCAGCUUCAGAAAGAGAUAGAACGUCUGAAACAAUCUUUAGUUGAGAAAGUGUGUCCGGAAGGAUGGAAGAAGCUUGGUAGCAGUUGUUACUACGUCUCUACUGAGAAAAAAUCUUGGGAGGAGAGCAGACAGGACUGCAGAAAUAGAGGAGCACACCUGGUGGUCAUCAAGAGCCAAGAACAACAGACAUUAGUCAACUGGUUAUGUGGAGUAUAUGGCUAUGUCUGGAUUGGUCUGACUGACUCUGUUUCUGAGGGGACCUGGAAAUGGGUGGACGACACACCACUGACCAGAAAGUAUUGGAACAGUGGACAGCCUGAUUCUGUGUUGUUUCUUCUACAGGUAUUGGAACAGUGGAGAGCCUGAUGGUGGUGGAGCAGAGAACUGUGUGUAUUUCUAUUCCUGGUCAUCAGACACAGGAGAAUGGUGGGACUAUUACUGUUACUAUAAAUUCAGAUGGAUCUGUGAGAAAUAGGAUUCAUCCUCGGUACUCUCUGAACUGCUAAAUAAGAUUAUGCUAAGUACUAUCAAUCGUAAACUAUUUUCUGCUUAUUCAAUUUAUUUUGUCAAGAACAUACAAUAUAUAACAAGACAAAUGUAGAAUACAUUAUAAUAAAACUAUAUGCAAUAACAAUACAAUGAAUUGAUAAGAGAAGGACUGUUCUGUAUGUUGUUGAGGAAAUUCACCAUUAAGGACUCAAAUUCAAAGGAAAUUAAUCAAUAUUUAUUAUCACAGUCACAGAGGUUCACUGACUCAAUACAAUCCUGAUGUUCAUUUUUAUUAUUAUUACUUUUUAGUUUAGUCUACUUGCUAAAUAUUUUU